AAGACUAUACUUUCAGGGAUCAUUUCUAUAGUUCGUUACUAGAGAAGUUUCUCUGAUCGUGUAGAGCACCCGAAACCACGAGGAGGAGAUGCAGCGUUCUCUCCUGAGCGUGAAGCCGGCUCUCAGUGUUGCACCUGCAACUGCCGUUUGCCAUUGAUGAUCGUUCUUCUCUCUGCUGGGGGAGAAGAGGGAGAGGAUGCAUUCUGAGUGGC
rnacentral:snoRNA from 1 species